rnacentral:lncRNA from 1 species
AUUAACUGACCCAAUUCCCCUUCUCCAUUUCCUUAUCAGUAACGGUACCAUUUCGAACCGGACCUGAGCCCAAUUGUCUUUUCUCUUUUACACAACAAACAAACAUUUCAAAGAGGUGUUGGGCAGACCAAUUUUGACUAUAAAAGGAGAUUUGGUUCACCUUUUCAACACCAAGGGAAGUGGUAGAGAAAUUAAGAAAUUUUUUGGAGUUUCAUCACAACUCUCACUCACUGCUUUCUCUGUUUUUUUUUUUUUAACUCUAUUUUUGGUUCUGAUCUGAUCUACCGCUUUCGUAGUUUUCCUUCGUCCGUCAAGCUUGAGGUCGAAGUUAGUGGUGGAAUCGCUCUCGGACUCGUCGUCUCCUUUCUCUGCGCAAUAUCCAGUAAUUCUCUUAAAAAAAAAUCCCUAUCCAUUUUAUCUGCUUUUAGUUUGGUUCAAGUUCAUUCUAUGUUGUUUUGGGGUUAGCUUAUUUGAUUAAGUGUAUGAAUAAAAUGUGACGUGCAAAGGGUCUCGCAACUGUUUAGAUGGGUCAUUCGGUUACAUGGUGUUUCUUACUUUCGUUAUGUAACUAAUUAUUCGUUUAUAGAUCAUUGAGUUAUUUGCUUUAAAUAUGGUUGAUGACGAAUUCGAGAAUAAUAUAUAGACUCGUGCAAUAUCAUGCGAACUCAUGAGAUUGUUGCUUCCGUUUCGGGCUCUAGAAGUGGCUGCCUUGUUAUGCUCUUUAGUAAGAAAUUAAUUUUCUAGCCAAUCCUUAGAUUUGUUUAAGAAAGUUGUUAGUUUCUCUUUGCAAUAGAUAUACAUCUUGUAUGAGUUAAACUUGUGUUCAAGUACCACUUUUGGUUCUUGGUUUCUUUCGUUAAUGAAAGUUCAGAUCGUUAAAGUGUUAUGCUCUACCUUCUUUGGACUGUUUAGUUAGAUUGUUUUGACUAAAAGUAUUGCGCGAGAGAGGUACCUCUGUAGGCACCAAAACACCCUAUGAUUUUAUUUUCCAAUUUCGCUAUGUGCCCUUUCUUCUUCCAUAAAUUACUUACCCAAAGCUAUCGUUAUCACCACGCCUUUCUUCUUCAGUCAAAAGGGUCUCGAAUUUAGUUUGUAAUCAAAUAUUUUUUUUUUUUUACAAUUCAUGUUUAAUACACACUAACUUGCCUGUGCUUUCCCUGUCUUUGAAUUAUUUGACUUCAAAUAUGUGGGGUAUUUGCGUGUGUUUGAUUAUAUGACCAAAAGAUUUUGAAAUAAAAGUGACAAGUUUUGUCCUUUUAAGUGUACAUUGUUUGAAAAUGCCAACCCAAAUCUAGAUGAAACCUUGCUCUUCUUACAUUUUGGUAGCUACAAGUAAUGAAUAAGAUGUUCCAAGUUUCAUGGUUAUUUUAACAUUCCUUUUUUUGUUAACUAUGAGCUUAAAAGUAUCAUGUUUAACCAUGUCUUUUCUUCUUUGAAACUUGAGUAGCUAAUCUUUAUCUUCUCUUUAUUGCAUGAACUCUCCCUUAUGAGUCCUCGGACUCCCAUUUCUCGCAUUCGGUUGGGCUAAACCCAACUUCCAUAGAAUCAAGACCCAUGUCAAGUCCGAAAGGGACUAAUGUGCAAGAAACGACACUGGAAUACAAUUGUAUACAGCUGAUAUACAUUAGGAGGCAGCAGCUGCACGUUAUAACGUGGUUCGUGAUGAUAAAUGGAGUCAAAAUACGCAGCUUACCGCACUGAUAUACACCAUAUACACAGCGGUAUACCCAAAAACGCAGGAAAUAAGCUGCCGAUAUACAACAGAUAUAUAGGGGCAUAAAAUGGGCUAAAGCCCAUGGAAUUGGUCCAAAUUGGACAGAUUUUUUUAAGGGGAAAGGACAAAAUAACACUUAAAACUAAAAUAAUUUUACAAAACUAACACCUAAAUUCUAAACCCCGGUAAAUAGCCACUAGGGAAAAUAAUUCCAACCGAAUGGCCAUUUGGUGUGUGUGGGGAGUGGGCAUCAUUAGUAAUGCUAAUUGUAAUAGAUACUCCCCAUAUUGUUUGAAUGGAAAAGUCGUCACACCAUACACUUAUAGGAGGAAAUGAAAAUAAUUUACUUAGUUACUACUUAAUAAGAGAAAAUUAUUGCAUUGAACUAAUUAUAACUUUGUCCGCAUUAGAAACCAAUUGAUCAAUAGCAUUUUUAUUCUCUGCUUUACAUAGUUUGCACAUUGGAUAUUUUUCAACUAAAUCAAUCAUUUGAAUGCAAUAGAAAUUGGUCUCUCUGUAUUCAUUACUUCACAUACUUUUAAUAAAAAAUACAUUGCUUCGUUGGUAGUAACUACUGGGAACAAUUUCUUGUAGGCUAUAUAAUAAUGAUACAGUUUCUAUACAUAUACAUAUUCUAUAUAAUUUUUAACUACAAUUAUUAUUUAGAUACAUAUUUUAUACGAUUCUAUAUAGUUUCUACAUGCAUUCUAAAAACGUAUUAAUCUAGUAUAAGAGAGUAUAAAUUGAGUAUAUGGACAAUGCAAGUGUAUCAAAGUAGUAAAAAGU